GCGACCCUGCGAAGCGCGAACCGACGAGCGGCUCCGGCGGGACGCGACACGAUGCUGCGCGGAUGCGACAGCGGCGUUUCUCCCUAACCUCCCCGUCAGUCUCUCGCCGUGUGGAGGAGAGUGUAGUGCAGCAGACAUGCCACCGACAAAAAAGACUGAUCUAGACAAGCUAGCUUGGGCAUGGGUGGAGAGCAUCAGCCCGGAACAGAUCGAGAAGAUACAUCUGGAAACGGCGUACAGGAUCGGAUUGAAGAGUUGCAAAAGUUGCAAACGUAACUGCGCCAAUAAUCCCCAAUGUCUGACAGGUUUAGGGGAGGAGAAGUACAUGAAGUCGCAACCAGCCGAGAUAGUGUCCCUGGAGAGCUCUCUGUCCGAACUGCGCGAUCCCACCCAGUACGUUGGCUUGAAAAAUCUAGGUGCUACUUGCUACGUCAACAGUUUGAUCCAAAUGUGGUUUCACAAUGAGGACAUGAGGAGAAUAAUAUACAAAUGGGAUAUUACGGAAGAUCCGGAGGAGAGGGAGACGUUGCAACAGACGAAGAAGGCGGGCAACUCGUACCACCCGGUGACCGCAGUCGGCCAGUUGCAGUACAUCUUCGCGAUGAUGCAAUUCGGCAAUCGGAGCCUCCUCGAUCCGAUGAGUCUCGCGGUCGCGCUGUCGCUGGACACCAGAACGCAGCAGGACGCCCAGGAGUUCUCCAAACUGUUGCUGUGCCACAUCGAGGGUAAGCUGCAGCAGAACACGGAACUCAAGCAGAUGCUGCAGAGGCUGACCCAAGGAAGAUACAGUUACGUCAAUUGUUGUUCAACAUGUGGCACCGAAUAUCCGACGUCUACCACGUUCUACGAGCUAGAUCUGCAGCUGGCGGCGACUUUGAAGGAGGCGAUAGACAAGUAUCUGUCGGAGGAACAGCUGACCGGCGCGAAUCAGUACCACUGUGUCACGUGUAACGAUAAGAAGGACGCGAGGCGAUUCAUACGACUGGAGUCGCUGCCGGAGACGCUGAACAUCCAACUGAUGCGUUUCGUGUUUCACAGAGAUUCCGGACAGAAGAGGAAAUUAAAUUCGUAUAUCCAAUUUCCCGAGGACCUCGACAUGUCGGAAUACGUCAGGUGUCAGCCGCAAACUCACUUGUACAGUCUCGUCGCGGUGCUGAGUCACAAAGGCCCGUCCGCGCAUUCCGGGCAUUACAUCGCGAACAUAUGCAACUCGAGCGGCGAAUGGUACCAGUUCAGCGACGACAAAGUCGAGAAGAUGCAGAACAAGCGGAUCGAGGAUGGCGUGAAUGAUAACGUGAAACCGAUGAAACGCGGACGCGUCCCGAAAGGCUUUCUCUCGUCGAAUACGGCUUACAUGCUGGUUUACAAAAGAUUAACUUCGGACUGCCGGACGAAUGCUGCGAAGAAAGCGAAGUCGAAGAAGCCCGACGAGACAAACGCUUCCGGCGAUGCCGUUCACGUGGAGAAGCCCGCGGUCAAAGACGAGGUCAAAGCGGACGGUUCGGACGAAACGAGGCAAAAGAAUGAUGUCGAAGUGCCAUCGAGUGCCCAGGAAGGAUGCCUCGAAAAUCUAUCAAAGGCAGAUUCGGAGAGCGAGACGGAACCAAAUGAAGUUGCAGCACCUCAAAAGACUGAUACACCUAUCGUGGUUAAAAACGAAACCGCGGAGCCUGCCGCUGACGCGAACGAAUCGAGCGACGACAAGCACGACGAUUCCACCUCGCCGCAGUUGCAGAGCAAGGUUCAAUGCUUGAAGCAACCAGUAGUAAAAGUAGUGAAACUCGACUACAAGCGACUGAAUGGCGCCGCGCACCGGGCGAUGAGUUGCGGCGAACGAGAUUUUUACGAAGAGAUGGAGUUUGAGAACUGGCAAGUGAGCAACACGAUGCGCGAGCUCGUCAGGCAGGAGAACGUUAAACACGAAUUGAGUUUGUUGGCGGCGCAGCAGGAGAAGCAAAAGGAAAUCGAAGAUCAGAAUUCUAAACGGCAGCUCGUGAUAGACAUAUAUAACAUGAUACAGUCGACUGUGUCCUGGCAGGAGUACUACUGGAUACCAACCGAUUGGCUGUCGAAGUGGCUGAACGGGCACUACGCGGCGGACAGUGUCCCACCGAUCGACAACUCGACUCUCAUGUGCUCGCACUACCGACUGGAUCCGUUGAAAGUCAGUCGGGCGAAGUGCGUGCCGGCGACGGCGGCUGAGAUGAUCUACGAGACGUAUCGUGGCGGUCCACGAUUAGACCAAACGUCGCUGUGUGAGAUCUGCGUGAGGAGACGCUGCAAGCUGCUGCGCUUCAAGCUGGCGCUCGAACGGGAUCACAAAGAAGUCAGCGAGCUGAUACGCACGUUCAAGGAACCUUCCGAGUCGAGUUACAUAAUCGGCACCGACUCGUUACGAUCCUGGCGGAGGCUGGCCAUGGAGACGUUCCUGGAGGGCAUGGAGCAGGAGAUGGACGACGGUCGGUAUACUCCGCAGGAGGAAAGCAAAAGCAUAGACAAGGAUGGCAACGAUUGUCCGAAGGACAACAUCGAGGAGAACGACGAGAGCGAGGCCAUCAUAAACUUCAAUGAGGACCUGCUGUGCGAGCAUAAUUCACUGAAGACUGCGGAUUCCAGUAGGAGAGUGAUACCACAGGAAGCUUGGUCGAUCCUUCGGAAGUACUUUCCCGAUUCGAAGGAGUAUCCGGUUCAGUCGUCGUCGUGUUCGAUCUGCGAGGAGAGAAUGGAGAACGCACAGAGAGCGAAGAAGGACGACAAGAUAAAGGCGAAGCAGCAGAAGGACCAGCUCAUCGACUUGUACUACUGCAGGAACCGAAACGAGAUCUCCAAGUGCGACGACCCGGGCAAGCUGUUCUACAUCGUGGAGAAGGGCUUCCUCGACAGCUGGCGUUCCUUCAUUCGAUACGCCGAGAUCUACUCACGAACGCCACCGGCAGGUAUUCAGAACGCGUCGCUGCUCUGCGAGCCGCACAAAGGGUUCCUGUAUGCGCCCAGAAUCAACAACGACCUAUACAGCAUACUUACGGCGGAAGAAUGGUCGAAGCUCGCGCAAUUCUACGAGGUCGAUUUUCCUAUCACCAUAAAGAAGACUGACGACGACUAUCAGACGGAUCCCGGAUCAUGUGCAGCCUGCAUGUUAGCAAGGGUCGAACAGGAGCGACUGGAGAGCUUAAAGUACGACAGAGCGACGAUCUACAUCAAGUGUAUCGACGAGAACGGUGAAACUAAAACGGAGAACGAUUCAGAGGUAGCGGCAAAGAGGCCAAAAAUAGAGAACGUACGUCCGUCGCGAACCAGGAGAAAAUUGAAGGGCUCCCACGAGCUCAAAGUGUCAUCCGAGAUUACCUUAAAGGAACUCAAAGUGAUGAUGAUGCAGAUCUGCGGCGCCGGGCCCUAUGAUCAACACAUAAUGCUGGGGGAACACGAACUCACUGAUCAUAGUCAGAGCUUGGCGGCACUCGGGAUAUUUCCUGGCUCGCUGCUCACGUUGAAGACAAAUCUCGUCCACGAAGGCGAGACUCGCUUACCGUAGAUGACGUGGAAAGUGGCCGGUCAAUGCCAAAGACCGGCCGGACAAUCCAUUCCGGCAGCUUGCGCGCGCGCGUCGCCUUUACGGAGUCGCGAGAGGCUGCCUCGCCGAGAGAAGGAAGAUUUGUUCCCUAAUGUAGUCACUGGAGCCUCGGGGACGACUCGGCGAGGUCGGUGGGGUCCGCAAGUAGGCGUCUAGAAAAUCGAUGCGCCGAUAGAAAACGAAACUGACGUUGAGUCCGACGUCCACAACUUCGAGUCUACCUUGCCAGAGAAGGGUUUCAAAG
rnacentral:misc_RNA from 1 species